AGCAUGGCCUUUAUGUCCUGGGCUACACACGACGCUACAAUGGCCAACACAAUAGGUUGCUAAGCCGCGAGGUGGAGGCCAAUCCUCAAAGUUGGUCUCAGUUCAGAUUGCAGGCUGCAACCCGCCUGCAUGAAGAUGGAGUUGCUAGUAACCGCAGGUCAGCUAUACUGCGGUGAAUACGUUCCCGGGUCUU
rnacentral:rRNA from 1 species